CGGACCGGCGCACGGGUGAGUAACGCGUAUGUAAUCUACCUGUAACAGGGGGAUAACCCGGAGAAAUCCGGACUAAUACCUCAUAGCACAUAUUAUUCGCAUGAAUUUUAUGUUAAAGAGACUCGGUUACAGAUGAACAUGCGUUCCAUUAGCUAGUUGGCGGGGUUACGGCCCACCAAGGCAACGAUGGAUAGGGGUUCUGAGAGGAAGGUCCCCCACACUGGUACUGAGACACGGACCAG
rnacentral:rRNA from 1 species